ACCCCGGGCAGGUUUCCCCACGGACAGGGCAUCCGACCGCGACGAAUCUCUGGCCUCUCACCGCCGCCGUGACGAAUCUCUGGCCUCCCACUGCCGCCGCAACGUCCAGCUCUGCUCUGCUCCGACGUCCAGCUCUGGCUUGUCGUCCUCCGCGCGUACUCCGCGCUACUGGAUCUCUGGCUUGCUCGUACGGGAUCUCUAGCGCGUACAGGAUCGCAUGACAUCCACUGCUCGUCCUCCGCGCUAUUGGAUCUAUGGCUUGCCGUCCUCAGCGCGUCGUCCCCAUCUCUGGCUUGAGUGUGUUAAGUGGAAGCAACACAUGAAGCGGAUAUGGAGAAGGAAGCUGGCAUGAAACUAAAACGCAUUAAGUUGACAUGUGGCGUGCAUGUUUUAGAUGUCUUAUUCUACUGCCAAACUUCCUAAUACUCCAUUUUUAUAUUAUAAUGUCUAUCUGUACGUGUGAAUGGAGAUAAUGAUAUUAUGUGAUGUGAUGAUGGAUGGAUUAGCUUCGUUGAAUAUUACAUGAUAUUAUGUGAUGGUGAUAUUAAGUGGACA